UCUCUAGUGCGGUGAGCAGGGGCUACUCUUUGUUGUGGUGCGCGGGCUUCUCAUCGCGGUGGCUUCUCUUGUUGCGGAGCACAGGCUCUAGGUGCGUGGUCUUCAGUCGUUGCGGCACGUGAGCUCAGUAGUUGUGGCGCACGGGCUUAGUUGCUCCGCGGCAGGUG